rnacentral:rRNA from 1 species
UAUGUCUAAACGACUCUCGGCAACGGAUAUCUCGGCUCUCGCAUCGAUGAAGAACGUAGCGAAAUGCGAUACUUGGUGUGAAUUGCAGAAUCCCGUGAACCAUCGAGUCUUUGAACGCAAGUUGCGCCCGAAGCCGUUAGGCCGAGGGCACGUCUGCCUGGGCGUCACACGCCGUUGCCCCCCCGACCCCUCCGGGGGCCGGACGGGACGGAUGA